rnacentral:rRNA from 1 species
AGUGAACGCUGGCGGUAGGCCUAACACAUGCAAGUCGAACGGCAGCACAGUAAGAGCUUGCUCUUACGGGUGGCGAGUGGCGGACGGGUGAGGUAUACAUCGGAAUCUACUUUUUCGUGGGGGAUAACGUAGGGAAACUUACGCUAAUACCGCAUACGACCUACGGGUGAAAGCAGGGGAUCUUCGGACCUUGCGCGAUUGAAUGAGCCGAUGUCGGAUUAGCUAGUUGGCGGGGUAAAGGCCCACCAAGGCGACGAUCCGUAGCUGGUCUGAGAGGAUGAUCAGCCACACUGGAACUGAGACACGGUCCAGACUCCUACGGGAGGCAGCAGUGGGGAAUAUUGGACAAUGGGGGCAAGCCUGAUCCAGCCAUACCGCGUGGGUGAAGAAGGCCUUCGGGUUGUAAAGCCCUUUUGUUGGGAAAGAAAAGCAGCAGGUUAAUACCCCGCUGUUCUGACGGUACCCAAAGAAUAAGCACCGGCUAACUUCGUG